rnacentral:sRNA from 1 species
UUAUGUGGCAGUACUUUGUCUUCAAAACAACAGGAGAAGGUGGUGGCAGUGGGACGUUGUUUUAUCUUGUUUUAUUGAAAAAUGUAGAAAGCACAGUUUCUGAAUAGACUUUGUUUCUUAGGUUUCAUGGCAUGAUCUCCAGAGAAGCAGCCGACCAGCUCUUGAUUGUGGCUGAGGGGAGCUACCUCAUCCGGGAGAGCCAGCGGCAGCCAGGGACCUACACUUUGGCUUUAAGAUUUGGAAGUCAAACCAGAAACUUCAGGCUCUACUACGAUGGCAAGCACUUUGUUGGGGAGAAACGCUUUGAGUCCAUCCACGAUCUGGUGACUGAUGGCUUGAUUACUCUCUAUAUUGAAACCAAGGCAGCAGAAUACAUUGCCAAGAUGACGAUAAACCCAAUUUAUGAGCACAUAGGAUACACAACCUUAAACAGAGAGCCAGCAUACAAAAAACAUAUGCCAGUCCUGAAAGAGACACAUGAUGAGAGAGAUUCUACAGGCCAGGAUGGGGUGUCAGAGAAAAGGUUGACAUCACUUGUUAGAAGAGCAACUCUGAAAGAAAACGAGCA